rnacentral:rRNA from 1 species
CAAUAGCGUAUAUUAAAGUUGUUGCGGUUAAAAAGCUCGUAGUUGGAUUUCUGCUGAGAACGACCGGUCCGCCCUCUGGGUGUGUAUCUGGCUCUUUCUUGGCAUCUUCUUGGUGAACGUUGCUGCACUUGACUGUGUGGAGCGCUACCCAGGACUUUUACUUUGAGGAAAUUAGAGUGUUUCAAGCAGGCAUACGCCUUGAAUACAUUAGCAUGGAAUAAUAAGAUAGGACCUCGGUUCUAUUUUGUUGGUUUCUAGAGCUGAGGUAAUGAUUAAUAGGGAUAGUUGGGGGCAUUCGUAUUUAACUGUCAGAGGUGAAAUUCUUGGAUUUGUUAAAGGCGGACUACUGCGAAAGCAUUUGCCAAGGAUGUUUUCAUUG